rnacentral:rRNA from 1 species
UACGGAGGAUGCGAGCGUUAUCCGGAUUUACUGGGUGUAAAGGGAGCGUAGACGGUAUGGCAAGUCUGAUGUGAAAACCCGGGGCUCAACCCCGGGACUGCAUUGGAAACUGCCGAACUAGAGUGUCGGAGAGGCAAGUGGAAUUCCUAGUGUAGCGGUGAAAUGCGUAGAUAUUAGGAGGAACACCAGUGGCGAAGGCGGCUUGCUGGACUGUAAAUGACGCUGAGGCUCGAAAGCGUGGGGAGCAAACAGG